rnacentral:rRNA from 1 species
CCUACGGGUGGCAGCAGUGGGGGAUAUUGCACAAUGGGGGGAACCCUGAUGCAGCGACGCCGCGUGGGUGAAGAAGCGCCUCGGCGCGUAAAGCCCUGUCAGCAGGGAAGAAGAUGACGGUACCUGAAGGAGAAGCCCCGGCUAACUACGUGCCAACAGCCGCGGGAAUACGUAGGGGGCAAGCGUUAUCCGGAUUUGCUGGGUGUAAAGGGGGCGCAGACGGCGAUGCAAGACAGGAGUGAAAGCCCGGGGCCCAACCCCGGGACUGCUCUUGGAACUGCGUGGCUGGAGUGCAGGAGGGGCAGGCGGAAUUCCUGGUGUAGCGGUGAAAUGCGUAGAUAUCAGGAGGAAGACCGGUGGCGAAGGCGGCCUGCUGGACUGCAACUGACGUUGAGGUCCGAAAGCGUGGGGAGCAAACAGGAUUAGAUACCCUAGUAGUC